CGUGGAGUGAUUUGUCUGGUUAAUUCCGAUAACGAACGAGACUCAAAUAUAUUAAAUAGCUGGUACAUAAUUUGAGUGUAUACAGCUUCUUAGAGGGAUUUGCGGUGUUCAGCCGAAAGAAAUUGAGCAAUAACAGGUCUGUGAUGCCCUUAGAUGUCCGGGGCUGCACGCGCGCUACACUGGCAAAAUCAACGUGCUUGUCCUACCCCGAAAGGGGCGGGUAAACCAUUGAAAAUUUGCCGUGAUUGGGAUCGGAAAUUGCAAUUAUUUUCCGUGAACGAGGAAUUCCAAGUAAGUGCGAGUCAUCAGCUCGCGUUGAAUACGUCCCUGCCCUUUGUAC
rnacentral:rRNA from 1 species